UGGGGAAUAUUGGACAAUGGGGGAAACCCUGAUCCAGCAAUGCCGCGUGAGUGAAGAAGGCCUUAGGGUUGUAAAGCUCUUUCGCCCGCGAAGAUAAUGACGGUAGCGGGAGAAGAAGCCCCGGCUAACUCCGUGCCAGCAGCCGCGGUAAUACGGAGGGGGCUAGCGUUGUUCGGAAUUACUGGGCGUAAAGCGUACGUAGGCGGAUGCGCAAGUUGGGGGUGAAAUCCCGGGGCUUAACCUCGGAAUUGCCCUCAAAACUGCACGUCUUGAGACCGAGAGAGGUAAGGGGAAUUCCUAGUGUAGAGGUGAAAUUCGUAGAUAUUAGGAAGAACACCAGUGGCGAAGGUGCCUUACUGGCUCGGUACUGACGCUGAGGUACGAAAGCGUGGGGAGCAAACA
rnacentral:rRNA from 1 species